GUAAGCUAAGUAAACGGCUUCGGUCUUCUGUCAAAGGAAGACUGAGGAAGUUCCGCUCAUACAAGAGAACCAUGAAAAUGGUAGUCUGAGAGGGCUGUAUUGAUAUCAGAAACGAGACCAAUCAAUUACAAUUAACGAUGAUAUAAAUGAGCUGUAGUUGACAGGUUGAAACGGAUCAAUGCUCUCAAUGGUAUGCAAGCAUUAAGCGCUUAGAUAAAUGCCGUUAAAACAGAAAGUGGACUAUUCUUAGCAUGC
rnacentral:RNase_P_RNA from 1 species